AUGCGGACAAAGGAUCUGUUAUUUUUUUAUCUGAUCCGUCAGAAUUAUUCCACCGAGGUGGAGGCUGCUGUCAACUGCCUGGUCAACCUGCACCUGGGGGCCUCCUACACCUACCUCUCCCUGGGCUACUAUUUCGACCGGGAUGACGUGACUCUGGAGGGCAUGGGCCACUUCUUCCACGAGUUGGCUGAGGAGAAGCGCUAGGGCACGGAGUGGCUGCUCAAGUUGCAGAACCAGUGUGGCGGCCGUGCGCUCUUCCAUGAUGUUCAGAAACCAGCUCAGGAUGAGUGGGGUAAAACCCAGGAGGCCAUGGAAGCCGCCUUGGCCCUGGAGAAGAACCAGAACCAGGCCCUCCUGGAUCUUCAUGCCCUAGGUUCUUCCCGCACAGACUCCCAUCUCUGUGACUUCCUGGAGAACCACUUCCUGGAUGAGUAGGUGAAGCUCAUCAAGAAGAUGGGAGACCAUAAUGCACAUAAGUGGACCUGCUCAAAACAGCCAGCAGGAAUCACAGCCUGCUGGAUUCCUAUGGAAAAAUUGCUCUGGCCGAAAAGCUGGUCAUAA